GAUGGUAAUAUUACCCAUUGACAGAUUCUCGAUCACGAGAUUAAAAUCGUUCGAAAUUAACGAGAGAUUGAUGGUUUGUGGAGCGCAAAUGAAACAAAAUAUCAUUAGGAACGGUAUCAGAACGAGUAAAGAUCUAAAACGACAGAUCGAAGACGAUGAAUCGAUCAAACGAAGAAGGAAUCCUUUAAAGACAUUGUUAUU